CAGUAGGGAGCGCGGGUUCCUGAUCAUCUCGGGUAGCAUGUGUUCUCACCAUCUAUGAGAGAGUAUAAGACAAGGGUUCAGAAUUGUGAUGUCAAAAAUCUUGCAAAAUAGGGUAAUCAAAUGAAGUGUAAUUUCUCCUAAUAGUUACAUAGCCUCUCACAGAUAAGUACAGAUGUCUCUGUACUGAUCUAUGAGACUCUAAUAAAUCGGCUUGUGAUUCGUGACUCCUAUGAACCUAGAUCUCUAAUACCAACUUGUCACAACUCGGUUCGCCCUCCGCGAACUAUCUUGACGGCACCUAGUCUCUACGACUAAGUAAGCCUAAUAAUUGCAGAAGUUAAACCAUAAUUGCGGAAUAAAUAAUUAAAAUGAAACUAGUAAAGUAAAACAAUGUUUAAGGUGCCUCUCGACACAUAUAAUAACACCUCUUAAAGCUAAUAACAUUCCCAGACAUGGAAUCUCACAAAUCAAAAGCCAAGGGAUAUAUAAAAAGCUCUACCUCCGAUAACUUCUAAAUAAAGGAAAAAUACUGAAAGGGGCUAUACUUAUUACAGAAAGAUAGAUAGGGACUCUUCGGUCUACGGACGUAGCUGAUAUACCUCGAAGUCUCUACAGAAACACCUCCCUCUAAGGCUGACAGAACUGAGUAGGGGUACCUGGAUCUGCACAACAAAAUGUGCAGAAGAGUAGUAUAAGCACACGACAGCGGUGCCCAGUAAGUAUCAAGACUAACCUCGGUAAAGUAGUGACAAGGAACAGUCAAGACACCUACCGGUCAAAUAAAUAAUAUACUUAUGGGGCAAUGGAACAUGAUAUAUAUAUAUAUANNNNNNNNNNNNNNNNNNNNNNNNNNNNNNNNNNNNNNNNNNNNNNNNNNNNNNNNNNNNNNNNNNNNNNNNNNNNNNNNNNNNNNNNNNNNNNNNNNNNNNNNNNNNNNNNNNNNNNNNNNNNNNNNNNNNNNNNNNNNNNNNNNNNNNNNNUAUAUAUAUAUAUAUAUAUAUAUAUAUAUAUAUGAAGAUUGUAUGAAAUGACAAAUAAUGCUGCAAUCACAACGAGGGAAGAAAUAACAAGUAAUACGAGAAUAUAAAGAUUGAUGACACAUAAUCACGACAAAAUACAAUCCAACCUUAAGAUCACGAUACAAAAAAGGAAACACAAACAAUAACUCGGGUCUAACGGUAGUGUCCACAUAAGGUCUUAUUUAAAUAUCUCCACAAAUUUUUCAAAUCUCGUUCAAAUCACAACUCACGAGACCCGGCAUCUGAAAUCUACACUUGGCAUCAUGUGCCUCCAUCAACCUUACGGUGAUACUGGCAACUCACUAGUUAACUAGGGCCACUCUCACAUAUAAAAUGAUUAAACAAGGACAUGCCUCUAUACUUAGCAAAUCAGGGGAACUUCACCUCCAAUAAGAGUGUUUCAACUACGUAUAUGCUUAUGCGAGUGCGUUAACAAGAUCUUGUACCAGUUAAUAAAGAUUAGAAGAAGAGCGGGUAGCACGCACAAUAUUUCCUCACCAUAUCUACAAGAUAAAGCUCAUACAUGAAAAGCAAACCACAAUCAAAAUAAUAAACAAAAAUAGAAAUGCCUCCAUAGGCCGCCACAACCCUUACAAUCAGUCCCUAACAUAGCCCACCUUAUUUCGCCACGUGUGCAAUUAAUAACAUAAUAAGUAUCGCCUUAUUUCUACACAUGUGCAUCACAAUAUUCCCACCUUGUUUCGCCACAUGCUCAACCCACAUAUAAACAUAUCUCACCUUAUUACGUUGGAUGUGCAAUAUAUCAAUAGCAAUAGUAGCACAACAAAGAUCUUAUGCAACCCCUCAACAACAAUCGCACGACAAAAACCUCGUACAUCACAACAUCAAUAACAGCAUGACAGAAAUCUCGUGCAUCACAAUAUCAAUAACCGCAUGAUAGAAACCUCGUGCAUCAACAAUAUCAAUAACCGUACGGCAGAAACCUCGUUCAUCAGCAAUAUCAAUAACCUCAUGGUAGAAACCCCGUGCAUCAAUAAUAUCAAGUACAAUAGCAACAAAUGAAAUAUAUACAAGAGAACAACAAGUGAAUUAACUCAAGAAUCAUUCGCUCACUAGGGCGGUAAGACUGGCUUACAUGGAAUAACCACAAUAGAAAAUACCAAGCAUAAUAAGAACAACUUAAUAAGGGAGAAAAAUAAUAUGAAGUAACGACCCCAUAGCAUGUAGUUCAACAACAAAGGAGUUAACAAGAGUCAAGUAAUUUCAAAUAAGGAAAUAUCAAUUACAUAUGAAAUAUCUAUUCUUCUUUUGAGGUUGGGGCAGGUUACGAAGGAUAUACAACAAUUUCGGUUAAGACUAAAUAAUUAUCUAAGAGAUAAUAAUGAUUUCCAAUAAAAAAAGCAGUUAUGAAAGAUAGCGUGUCAAUGGAGGAGGUAAAGAUCUUCAAUUGAGUAAGGUAAGAGUCAAUUAGGCAAUAAGAAUGCACCAAAAGGCAAUUAAUUCUAAAUAAACAUGUAGAGGUGAAACAUAUCAAGAGACUCCUUUUUGACUUAAAGCGCAGAUGAUUGAUUAUGACUGGAAACCUAUCUAUUGCAAUCAUUGUCUGAAAUUUGGACAUGAUUCUAUAGAUUGUUGGUAUAACACUAACUUUGAUGAAGAAUAGGAGCUGGAAGAAGGGGGUAAGCCAAAGAGACAGAGGAUCAGAAUGAAAAAAGCAGGUAAAACCUGUAAAAAAAGAAUGGCUGGUUAAAAAGGAUCGAGACAGAACAGAACUAAAGGCAGAGGAGAAAUUGCAAGAACAAUCAGACAAUAAGGAAACUGAGGGGUUGGGGGAAACCACAAUUACAAUGGUGAGUACUCAACAGGAUGAAAAGCAAAGUACUGACAUUCAGGACCAGAAUGAAACAGUAAAUAGUGAACCUAUUUCCAGCAUUGAGGUAAUGGCAGAUAAUUGCAGAAAGGGCAAGGCAAUUGUUGAAGUGAUAGAUGCUGGAAGAAGGGGACAACAGAUUGAUCCUGGACCUUCCCAGUACCUUAAUCCCAAGUUGAUAUGAUUAUUGUCACUUGGAAUAUUAUGGGGCUAAACCUAGCCCAUAAGCAGAAAGAGUUGAAGACCUUUCUUGCUAUAAAUAAAGUAGAUAUUCUGGGAUGUAUAGAGACUAGAGUAAAGGAACAUAAAGCAAAGAAAAUACAAGGAAAGAUUGCAAAAGGAUGGGAUUUCUAUUGCAAUUAUUCAAAGGCUGUUAAUGGGAGAAUUUGGCUUCUUUGGAAAACUCAUAUCCAUCUUCAAGUUUCUCAAGUGACUGAUCAAUUCAUUCAGUGCUUUAUAGAAGAUUCCAACAGUCAAUUCAAAUCUCACUUCAGUAUCAUUUAUGCUCAGAAUGAUGGUAACCAAAGAGAAAAAUUGUGGAGUGAUCUGAGGCAAAUACAUAUACCCAGUUAGGACAAUUGGUUGCUGAGUGGUGAUUUUUAAUAAUGUCUUAAGUUCUGAAGAUAGAAUUGGUUCACAUGUAACUGAUGCUGAAGUUAAAGGCUUUAGAAGUGUCAUUGAUGACAUACAGUUCACUCCUCUCAGAGCAAAAGGUUGGCAUUUCACUUGGACAAACAAGCAGGAUGUUUCAUCAAGGGUAUAUAGUAAGAUUGACUGGGCAUUAGGUAACUAUCAGUGGAUACAACAGUAUGGACAUAUUGAAGCUGAAUUUAUUAAUCCAUCAAUAUCUAACCACUCUCCUAUCCUUAUCAAAUGUGAUGGCCAUAAGUUGCUUCACCCAAAGCCUUUCAGAUUAUAUAUCAAUGUUAUGGAAUAUCCUCAGUUCCAAAAUAUUAUACAACAUGUCUAGAGACAGAAUUUUGUGGGUGCACCUAUGCAGCAGAUAUGGAGUAAAUUAAAGACUAUGAAACAGCAGCUAAAGGAGAUAAAUGCAUAUAUGGCUUCAUAUAGGCAAAAACGUGUACAUGCUAGAGAGAAACUAGAUAUUACCCAGAACCAGUUGCAGCAAUCUCCAUUACUGCAGCCUCUGUUUAAUGAAGAAAAAGCAGCACUUGAAGAAAUCCAGAAAUGGAGUAUUGUGGAGGAACAAAUAAUGAGACAGAACAUAUAGGCAAAAACCUGUAAAGGCUAAAGAGAAACUAGAUAUUAUCCAGAACCAGUUGCAGCAAUCUCCAUUACUGCACCUUUGUUUAAUGAAGAAAAAGCAGCACUUGAAGAAAUCCAGAAAUGGAGUAUUGUGGAGGAACAAAUAAUGAGGCAGAAAUCCAAGGCUUGCUGGAUUGAAUGUGGUGAUGCCAACACAAAGUACUUCCAUGCUCAGUGGAAUGAACCAGCCAGAACAGCAUAACCUCCAUAUAUACUGAUACAGGAAUGAAAUUGACAGAUCCCAAGGCAGUGGAACGGGAUUUUAUCAGUGUUUUCCAAUCAUUGAUGGGAGAUUGUGCUGGGGAAUUACCUUGUGUUAAAGCAGCUACUAUCAAGGAAGGAACUUGUUUAAAUUUACCACAACAAAGAAUGCUGAUACAGGAGAUUACAAUGAGAGUGAUCACAGAAGCAAUAAUGGAGAUGCCAAAGGAUAAAGCACCAGGAAUGGAUGGAUUCCCUGUAGAAUUCUUUACUAAGAACUAGGAUACAGUAAAGGCUGAUAUACUUGCUGCUGCAAAAGAGUUCUUCUCUACCAACAUAAUGCCUCAAAUGAUUAAUACAACUGCUAUUGCACUUGUUCCCAAAGUUAAGGCUCCUGCAACAGUUAAAGAUUAUAGGCCCAUAACUUGCUGCACUACCUUUUAUAAGAUCAUAUCCAAAGUCAUUACUAAAGAAUGAAGAGUGUGAUUGGAGUUCUAAUUGGGCAGGCUCAAUCAACUUUCAUUGAAGGAAGAAGCAUAGUUGAUAACAUUCUACUUAGCCAUGAAAUCUUCAAAGGAUAUUCAAGGAAAGGAGUGUCUCCCGGAUGUGUUUUGAAAGUGGAUCUGAGAAAGGCUUAUGACACUUUGGAAUGGAGUCGAUAUUCUAGGAAAGGAGUGUCUCCCAGAUGUGUUUUGAAAGUGGAUCUGAGAAAAGCUUAUGAUACUUUGGAAUGGAGUUUCCUUAAACAGGUUCUUAUUGAUGUAGGUUUCCCUGCUAAUUUGGUGCAAUGGAUAAUGGCAUGUGUCACUAUAGUCUCAUAUUCUCUAGUUCUGAAUGGUGGCUUAACAAAACCUUUCAAAGCUAAGAGGGGUAUUAGGCAAGGUGACCCUAUGUCACCUUAUCUGUUUGUGAUUGCUAUGGAAUAUUUGAAUAGGGAACUGGGACAGCUGCAUUAGAAUGGUGACUUCAGCUUUCAUCCUAAAUGCAAGAAGUUUAAUAGUAUUCAUGUAUGCUUUGCUGAUGAUUUAUUAAUGUUAUGCAGAGCUGGUCUUAUUUCUAUUAGAAUUUUAUAGGAGGCUUUCCACAGAUUCUCUGAAGCAUCUGGUUUGCAAGCAAAUGUUAACAAGAGUGCAAUAUACAUGGCUGGAAUAAAGCAGAAUGUCAGAGAGGAAAUUCUGGGAACACUUGGUUUUACUGAAGGAGAACUGCCAUUUAAAUAUCCGGGGAUACCCUUAGACUCUAAGAAGCUUGCUAUCUCUCACGACAUGCCUAUGAUUGAGAAGAUAACAUCGACGAUAACAUGCUGGUCUACAAAAUUGCUCUCUUAUGCAGGAAGAUGUCAACCGAUCAAAGCUGUCAUAUUUGGAAUCCAAAUCUACUGGGCUCAAAUUUUCAUUAUGCCAAAGAAAGUAUUGAAAGUUAUUGAAACUAUCUGCACAACCUUUUGUGGACUGGAAGUGCUAAUCCAUCCAGGAAGGCACUAGUUGCAUGGGAAAGAGUAUGCAUGCCAAUAACAGCUGGUGGACUGAAUAUCCUGGACAUGAAGGCAUGGAACAAAGCAGCAAUCAGUAAAUAUCUUUGGGACUUAACCAGAAAGACGGACUGCCUAUGGAUAAAAUGGGUGCACAGCUAUUACAUUAAGCAGGAUGAUAUUGAAACAAUGACCACUCCUAUGGCUGCCUCUUUGGUUGUGAGGAAAAUUCUGGACAGUAGAGAUGCUAUCAUGGGGAAUCAGUUGCUUCAGGGGAAUUGUGAGGAAAAUUCUGGACAGUAGAGAUGAUAUCAUGGGGAAUCAGUUGCUUCAGGGGAAUUUGCUUAGCAGACUGCAAGGAAUGUGCAACCUGGAUCACUUUCAGAUCAAGAAGAUGUAUCUAACUCUGAUUCCGAACUUCAGCAAAGUUGAAUGGAAGAGCUUGAUGUUGCUUGCCAAUGUUCAUCCUAGGCAUCGAUUCACCAUGUGGUUAGCUGCACAACAGAGGCUACCAACAGUGGACAGAUUGUAGAAAAUUGGCAUUCAAGUGCCUGCAACACGUGUUUUCUGUAAACAGAGUGUAGAAUCAUUUAACCACUUAUUUUUUAACUGUUCAAUCACAAGAAGUUUGUGGUCUAGACUCCGUUUAUGGCUGGGGUAUCAAAGAACUGUUGGAGACUGGGCAACCGAACUGAAAUGGAUAAACAGUAAAGCAAAGAGCAGAGUGGGGAAUCAAUGUUAUAACAACUUGUGUGUUUAUCACUACUAUUGCACUAAUUUGGAGGGAAAUAAACAACAUCAGAUUUGAAAAGAAAGCAUAUGAGGAGAAUCAGAUUUGCAGAGAAAUUGUUUUACAUAUCCAUAUUCGAGGCAGGAAUUGUAGGAGGAGAAUCAGAUUUGCAGAGAAAUUUUUUUACAUAUUCAUAUUCGAGGCAGGAUUUGUAGUCGAUGGCAAAAUGGCUUGCGGCAAAUUAACAGUUUUCCAUAGAUAUAGUUUGUAAUAGCUAACUACUAUACUUAAUUGUAAUAAGUGAAAGAGUAGUUAGAUACUUAGUAGAGAUGAUUGUGAUGUAAAGGAGUAGCAGCAAGUAAAAGCUGCUACUAAAGCUCUACCUUGUAUAUUUUCGUUAUUAAUGGAUACAAAUGUUCAAUUAAAAUAAAAAAAAUUCAAUCAUAUCAAGAACAACUUCAUACUCAGUGCAUAUAAGGACCUAAGAACCUAAAAAGGCCAAUUUUCUCACAAAUAAAUCCGAGCAAGCACUCGUAAUCUCGCGUACACGGAAUUCAAUUAGCAGAGGAGACUCAAGUCCUAAGAGGGAGUCCCCCACACAAUGUUAGGCAAGAUACAUACCUCGAAUCGGCUUAAUUUAGCUAGAAACCACGUUCUUGCCAUGAGUAUUUGACUCCAAAUAGCCCAAAUCUAUUCAAUUCAAUUUCAUAAUGUAAAUAACACUUAAAGUAAUUAAUUUUACAAUUAAAUUCUAAGUUAAUACGCGAAAUUAUUUAAAAUGACCAAAUGCCCCUCAGGUCAAUACCUCAGAAUCAGGCAAAAUUUAUAUUUUCAAAAUCCUCACGCUCACACAAGUCCAGCCAUACCAAAAUUAUCCAAAUUCGAUGUAAUUUGAUCCCUCAAACCAUGAUUUUUCAGUUAGAACUUUUCUUCAAAAACCAUUUUCUUCUGCAACCCAAAACACAAUUUAAAUGAUGAAAAUAAGGACAAAUUCAUGGAAUAUAUUUAAUUCUAGUGAAAGAACAUUUACCAAAUCGAAGCACAUGAAAAUCCCACCAAAAACCACCAAGAAUCGAGCUCUAAAAGUCAAAAUGUGAUAAAAAUGGUGAUACCCUCUAUUUGGAGAUUAUAUUCUACCAGACAUUUAAAGUAUCGCAAUCGCGGAAGAGAUGAUGCGAUCGCGUUGGAGGAAAAUAGCCACUGCCUAAAAUGUGCUACGCGAUCGCGGAAGGUCAUAUGCGAUCACGUAGUGAAGAAAUUUCUGCUUCCCAAGGCUACUCUUCGCGAUCGCGAAGAGAAAGAUGUGAUCAUGUUCAAGGAAAAAUUUGUUGUCCAAAAGGAAGAAUUAUGCGAACACUGACAUAGAAGUGCGGACACGAAGAAGGAAUACAUAGACUAUCGCAAUUGCGAGCCUGAUCAUGCAAACGCGAUGAACAAUUUAUGCCUCCUCCAAAAUUACUCUUCGCAAUCGCUGAGCAGCAGACGCGAACGCGAAAAAGAAAACCAGCUGACACAUAACAACAGUUCAAAAUAGGAGAAAAAUGACCCGUUGAGCAUCCGAAACUCACCCGAAGCUCCCGGGACCUCAACCAAAUGCACCAACAAAUUGUAAAACCUCAUUCAAACUUGUUCCAAUUCUUAAAAUACCUCAAACAACAUCAAAUCCACCAAUUCACAUCGAGUUCACGCUUAAAUUUGUAAAAACUUCUGAAACAUGUUUUUUUUAUCAAAAACCCAACCACUACGUCCGAAUGAUCUGAAAUUUUGCACACACAUCCCAAAUGACAUAAGAAGUUACUACAUCUCUCGGAAUUCUAUUCAGACUCUCGGAUCAAAAUUUCUAUGUCGGAUUGAAAACUUCAAAAAUUCUAACUUCGAUAAUUCAAGCCUAAAUUAGCUAUGGACCUUCAAAACACAAUUAGAACAUUCUCCUAACCCCGAAAUCACCUAACGAAGCUAAUAGAACCAUCAAAUUUCCAUUUCGAGGCCGUCUUCACAAUGUUCUAACUAUGGACAACUUUCCAUUACUUAGCUCUCAUUUAGGGACCAAGUGUCCAAAACUCUCUGAAACUCAAAACCGAACACCCCCGGCAAAUUAAAAUAGCAUAAAUGAACUUGGGAAAGCAGUUAGGGGAUCGGGGUGUAAAUUCCAAAAUAACCGAUCGGGUCAUUACACCAAUAGAGUCGCCAGAGCUGUCACACCUGCUCUUUACCACACCCCUGGAAGGGCGUAUAAGGGAGUUUUUUCCAAUUUAAGUGACUAUUGAAACAUGAUUAUUUAUUUAAAAGUUCAGAGUCACCACUUGGGAUAAUUUUAUGGUGUUCCAAGUCACUGGUUCAAAUCCUGAAUCGAGGAAAAGAUUAACUCUGUUUUAUAGUCCACAACCCCAGAAAUCUAGGUAAGAAAUUCUAUUAACCCUGGAGAAGGCGUUAGGUAUUCUCGAAUUUCGUAGUUCUAGCACGGUCACUCAACUGUUAUAAUUGGCCUAUUAUCUGAUUUUAAUAUAUGUUUUAACCUAUGGUUCAAUUUUAACUUUAUAACCACUUUUAUUAUAUAUUCUUUAGGAAAAAUUCAAUGCCAUAUAAAACACGUCUUGCACCACGUCACAUAAAUGCACCCGCGGUCCACGACAUAUUUUAUCCAACGUCGUUGAGAUCUGGAUUUGGGUCACAUAAAUGCAUACCUGAGUUUAGGAAGUUAAUUUAAAAUAUGCCUCUAAAGAAACUACACAUUUCAAGUUUGCGAGGGCCACGAAAAAUUCGUAAAUGACACACCUCGAUUAUAUGAACUAAAUUUAAACUAGCGGCCUUGGAAAACCAACUUUAUUAUUAAGAAAGUUUGAACGAAAUUUCAAUUCCUAGACCUAAAACCUAACCAAGACCAAAAAAUCCACGCCCUAAAAUAAGAUCAGCCCCCCACCCCUCACCCCUCCACAAGAUUUCCUAAAUUCAGCCACCCCUAUAUUAACAUCAUAUUAUAACUUUCUCGUCCUAACUCUUAACUCACCAUCCAUUUUCACCUAAAGCUAAUCGCUGGCACCAAAACAUCUUUCUAUACAUCCACUUAUUGAUAACAAAUUAACAAUAAUGAGUAGAGAAAAAUAACUCAAAUAACAACAUUAAAAGUCCUAAACAGAUUGCACGCGUAAACCAAAGAUAUAGAUAAAACCAAAAUCCAUAAAAAUUUAUAUCCUAUGUACAUAUAUUCAUGCUGUAACUGGAUAAAAGCAACAGUUCACAAAUGACUUUCAUCAAGCAAGACCACAAUAACUUGCUAUUGAUAUCACUUUAGGAAUAACAUCGCAUCAUGUUUCUCAUAUAUAUAAAAGCAUACAACAUACUCACGAUUAUUCCCUUGUAUCGUGCUUGUGCAACUGAUUAGAGAUUCAAACAACAAUGACGUCGGUGAUGAAAGCUUGACUAGAACAAACAGAAACGACGACGGAAAGUUGAUUAACAUAGAUUUCCCAAAAUCCUAACAGAACCACGGACGGCGAAGAACGGACGACGGAAAAUUUGAACGAGCUUCAAACUCAAUUGGAAACUUGAGACUUGCCGGAAAAAGAUAUUAAAGGAGCUCUUGAUUUGGUCUCUGUUUGGUCUGCGGCGCUAAGCUUUUGUAGAGUGUCUCUUGGUUGAAGGUUGUGAAGGUCACAUGGCAAUUGGUGUUGGAGAAACCUGACGGGGGGAGAGGUUGAAGACGAUGAUGGUGGAGGUGGUGUCUUGAUUUUUGCUAAAAACGGCGCUAUGUAUUCUUAGGCUUAGGUCAGUUUUUUUUUGUCUUUUCCCGUGUCCAUCAGCAUUAGGCAUUACCCCUAUUAUAUAAAUCUAGGUCUAAAUGUGUAUUUU
rnacentral:lncRNA from 1 species